ACCAUGGAUAAUAAAAUAAAUGGAUAGGACUCUAGCUGACGUAAGCAAAAACAACCUGGUUGCAAUCUGUGACGUCACGCGUAUUGCAAAGUUCUCGGCAUUUUUGUUGUUUCGCUAUACUUUCCGCUUUAAAAGAGUAAUAUUGAAGCAUAAACUGGUCUAAUUGUUUUAAAAACAUGCCUAAGCCACGACAAAGUAUUCAAGGUAAAUGUUUUUCGUUUUUGUUUUGUAUUUUUUUACAUUUGUAGCUACGAAAUUGGCGUCCUCAAUUUUAAAGAAAUUUGGGAUGCAUUUUUCACUGUUUAGUGCUUGAAAUAUUUGCUAAAAUUGACUGGGAAUACUUGGAGAUU
rnacentral:lncRNA from 1 species